AGCAGACUACACUGAAGAGUUUCCUGUGAUGAUUGUUCAGGACACCAACAGCCCUUGCACAGAUGUCAUUGUUGCUAUCGUGCUGGAGUUUGAGAAGCCUUCUUCCAAACAUGAUUUGAUUUUAAGAAUAGAAUUAAGCCUUGAAAUAUGGUGAAGACUUCCUUUGUGUGAAACUAGGUUUGGACCUGCAAUUAAUUGACUAGUUUCCUCUGUUUAGAAGAGAACAUUUUUUUCUAAACUUCCCUCUAUUUUCUGGAAGCUGAAAGAGGACAAUGCCAGGACCACAUCUGGCAUCAACCAUAUAGAAAAGGGCAAAGUGGAAGGGGAUUUGGAAGCUUCUUUAACAACUUUGCAG